rnacentral:lncRNA from 1 species
UGAGGUUGGUGGAGGGGACAACAGGAGGAGAGUGAGGUGAUUUUGAGAUUUGAAGGUGGAGUAUCUAGAGUAGGCCAUGGAGGGGGAGAGAAUGAGAGAUUUGGGAAGUGAGGUAAAUAUGUGUAAUAGAGGAAGUAGUGCGUGUGGAAGUAGAAAGUUUAGGAAGAGAAAAGAGAGGUCGUAGACCGUGGAAAUGAAGUGUCGGAAUAGAGGUGUGGGGGUGUCUCUAUGUAGGACGAGGGGAUGUGUGGGGUAGCUGUGUGGUGUGAGGGUAUGGGUCGUAUAUAGGUUGGUAUAGCUGCUAUAAAUUUGGUAGUUGGCAAGGGAACAUUACAGGUGUGGGUAUGUUAAGUGUUAGUGCGUGCUUUAUGGGGAAAUGGAUGUAGUUUAGGUACAUAGGUUAAAAGUAUAAGAAAGCUUCAAGAUAAGGUGGGGGAGUAAGGAC